UACGUAGGGUGCAAGCGUUGUCCGGAAUUAUUGGGCGUAAAGAGCUCGUAGGCGGUUUGUCGCGUCUGCUGUGAAAACUCAGGGCUUAACCCUGAGCUUGCAGUGGGUACGGGCAGACUAGAGUGCGGUAGGGGGAGACUGGAAUUCCUGGUGUAGCGGUGAAAUGCGCAGAUAUCAGGAGGAACACCGGUGGCGAAGGCGGGGUCUC
rnacentral:rRNA from 1 species